rnacentral:misc_RNA from 1 species
AACGCAUAUUGCGCCCUCUGGUAUUCCGGGGGGCAUGCCUGUUCGAGCGUCAUUUCACCACUCAAGCACCUCCUUAGCUUGGUCUUGGGCUUCGUCUCCCCCUGGGGGCGGCGUGUCCGAAAGUCAGCGGCGGUGCAGCCGGUCCUCGAGCGCAUUAGUGACAAACAUCGCUGCGAGGGACUCCCGGGACUGCUCCAGCCGGAUCGACGCAAACCAAAAACUUCCCAAUGAUUGACCUCGGAUCAGGUAGGGAUACCCGCUGAACUUAA